UACGUAGGGCGCAAGCGUUAAUCGGAAUUACUGGGCGUAAAGCGUGCGUAGACGGUUGCGUAAGUCAGAUGUGAAAGCCCCGGGCUCAACCUGGGAAUUGCAUUUGAGACUGCGUAGCUAGGGUGCGGAAGAGGGAAGCGGAAUUUCCGGUGUAGCGGUGAAAUGCGUAGAUAUCGGAAGGAACACCAGUGGCGAAAGCGGCUUCCUGGUCUAGCACCGACGUUCAGGCACGAAAGCGUGGGGAGCAAACAGG
rnacentral:rRNA from 1 species